ACGCGACCCCAGGUCAGGCGGGACUACCCGCUGAAU
rnacentral:rRNA from 2 species